rnacentral:rRNA from 1 species
UACAGAGGUGGCAAGCGUUGUUCGGAAUUACUGGGCGUAAAGGGCGCGUAGGCGGCCUUCUAAGUCAGACGUGAAAUCCCCCGGCUUAACCUGGGAACUGCGUCUGAUACUGGGAGGCUAGAGUAUGGGAGAGGGAUGUAGAAUUCCAGGUGUAGCGGUGAAAUGCGUAGAUAUCGGGAGGAACACCAGUGGCGAAGGCGACUUCCUGGCCUGUUCUUGACGCUGAGGCGCGAAAGCUAGGGUAGCAAACGGG